UUUUCAAGCAUCAAAAUUGUGGAGCUUAGAGGCAAAAUUGAACAUAUUCUAUGGCUAAAGCAUAGGAUAUGUUCAAUUUUGCCUCUGAGCUCCAUUAUUAUGCUUUUA
rnacentral:pre_miRNA from 1 species